UACGUAGGGGCCAAGCGUUGUCCGGAAUUAUUGGGCGUAAAGCGCGUGUAGGCGGCUCGGUAAGUCUGCUGUGAAAGUCCAGGGCUCAACCCUGGAAUGCCGGUGGAUACUGUCGAGCUCGAGUCCGGAAGAGGCGAGUGGAAUUCCUGGUGUAGCGGUGAAAUGCGCAGAUAUCAGGAGGAACACCAAUGGCGAAGGCAGCUCGCUGGGACGGUACUGACGCUGAGACGCGAAAGCGUGGGGAGCAAACAGG
rnacentral:rRNA from 1 species